rnacentral:rRNA from 1 species
AUUGAACGCUGGCGGCAUGCCUUACACAUGUAAGUCGAACGGCAGCGGACCUUCGGGUGCCGGCGAGUGGCGAACGGGUGAGUAAUAUAUCGGAACGUACCUUUCAGUGGGGGAUAACGUAGCGAAAGUUACGCUAAUACCGCAUAUUCUGUGAGCAGGAAAGCAGGGGAUCGCAAGACCUUGCGCUGAUUGAGCGGCCGAUAUCAGAUUAGCUAGUUGGUGAGGUAAAGGCUCACCAAGGCGACGAUCUGUAGCGGGUCUGAGAGGAUGAUCCGCCACACUGGAACUGAGACACGGUCCAGACUCCUACGGGAGGCAGCAGUGGGGAAUUUUGGACAAUGGGCGCAAGCCUGAUCCAGCCAUGCCGCGUGAGUGAAGAAGGCCUC